rnacentral:rRNA from 1 species
AUGGAGAUCGUCGAUGUUCAAGUUCUUGAGGAAGGCACGGAAAGGCAGAUUGACGAGAUGGCCUCCCUUGCGAUGGCAUGCUUAAAGCAUAGAGGAGAGGAGAGGCCUACCAUGAAAGAAGUGGAGCUAAGACUACAUGUCAUGAGAGGGAAGAUGGUGAUGAAGAGAAAUCAUGAGUUAGAAAGGCAUGGUGAAGCUGUGACAUUGUUACCUUCAAAUUAUUCCAACAAUUUUAGCACUAGUUUUGGGGCUGCUAAUUCAUCAAAUCAAUGUGUCACUCGAUGUUGUACAAUGGAGCAAGAACUAGUUUCUUGGACGGACCUACCUUGCUAA